CAGCCGCCGCGGUAAGACAGAGGAUGCAAGCGUUAUCCGGAAUGAUUGGGCGUAAAGCGUCUGUAGGUGGCUUUUCAAGUCCGCCGUCAAAUCCCAGGGCUCAACCCUGGACAGGCGGUGGAAACUACCAAGCUAGAGUACGGUAGGGGCAGAGGGAAUUUCCGGUGGAGCGGUGAAAUGCGUUGAGAUCGAAAAGGACACCAACGACGAAAGCACUCUGCUGGGUCGACACUGACACUGAGAGACGAAAGCUAGGGGAGCAAAUGGGAUUAGAUACCCCAGUAGUCCCUGUCUCUUAUAC
rnacentral:rRNA from 1 species